AUUGAACGCUGGCGGCAUGCCUUACACAUGCAAGUCGAACGGCAGCAUGGAAGAGCUUGCUCUUCUGAUGGCGAGUGGCGAACGGGUGAGUAAAGCAUCGGAACGUACCGUGUAAUGGGGGAUAACGUAGCGAAAGUUACGCUAAUACCGCAUACGACCUGAGGGUGAAAGCAGGGGAUCGCAAGACCUUGCGUUAUACGAGCGGCCGAUGUCAGAUUAGCUAGUUGGUGAGGUAAAGGCUCACCAAGGCGACGAUCUGUAGCGGGUCUGAGAGGAUGAUCCGCCACACUGGGAAUGAGACACGGCCCAGACUCCCACGGGAGGCAGCAGUGGGGAAUUUUGGACAAUGGGGGCAACCCUGAUCCAGCCAUGCCGCGUGAGUGAAGAAGGCCUUCGGGUUGUAAAGCUCUUUCGGCCGGGAAGAAAUCGCACAGGCUAAUACUCUGUGUGGAUGACGGUACCGGCAUAAGAAGCACCGGCUAACUACGUGCCAGCCGCCGCUGUAA
rnacentral:rRNA from 1 species